GGUGGCUCAGUGGUAGAGUGCUUGCCUAGCAUGCAUGAAGCCCUGGGUUCAAGUCCUCAGUACCA
rfam:Dipodomys ordii contig_59463, whole genome shotgun sequence.